CGCGUAGGCGGUAUGUCAAGUCAGGGGUGAAAGGCCUGGGCUCAACCUAGGAACUGCCUUUGAAACUGACAAACUAGAGUCCGAAAGAGGAUGGCGGAAUUCCCAGUGUAGAGGUGAAAUUCGUAGAUAUUGGGAAGAACACCAGUGGCGAAGGCGGCCAUCCGGAUCGGCACUGACGCUGAGGCGCGAAAGCGGUGGGGAGCAAACA
rnacentral:rRNA from 1 species